GCCGCUUGAAAUCCGCGUGUACCAGGACUGGUGCCGAGGGCGUCUGUGAGCGGACCGGCCAUCUCAGCAUAGUUUUUCAUAAAGCGCCGGUACCAGCCCGCAGUUCCCAGGAAACUACGCAAUUCUCGAACAGAUCGCGGCUGCAAAAUGCGCAAAAUGGAUCCGGAUCCAUCUUCAGCGCUCCUCCUCCCACUAUAAAUCCCAGACGCUCGGCAACCUGUGGCUGAAUCUUCACGUGCGUUUGGAAGUCCUCAGCUAUAAUCAGCAAGUCGUCGAGAUACGCAUAGACGUUUGAACGCAUCUCAACCGGAAUCACCUUAUCGACCAGUCUACAUAGGCGUUG